rnacentral:rRNA from 3 species
UUGAUCUGAAAUCAGGUAGGGAUACC